rnacentral:sRNA from 1 species
AUGUACCACUCGUACACUCCGGUUCUGAGCGCGCCGUCCGCACUCACCUGACGACCGCUCGCUACCUUUUGUUCGCC